rnacentral:rRNA from 1 species
GACGAACGCUGGCGGCGUGCCUAAUACAUGCAAGUCGAGCGGACGGACGAGAGCCUUCUUUCAGGGAGUUAACGGGCGGCGGGGGGGUUAAAAGUGGGAAACCUGCCUGUAAGAAUGGGAUAAAUCCCGGAAAGCGGGAGUGAUUACGGGAAAAUAUUUUGCUCCCGUUGGUUAAAAGGUGAAGGACGGAUUUGGUUUCCCUUAUCGAUGGGUCCGCGCUGCAUUAGCUAGUUGGUGAGGUAACGGCUUACCAAGGCGACGAUGCGUAGCCGGCCUGAGAGGGUGAUCGGCCACACUGGAACUGAGACACGGUCCAGACUCCUACGGGAGGCAGCAGUAGGGAAUCUUCCGCAAUGGGCGAAAGCCUGACGGAGCAACGCCGCGUGAGUGAUGAAGGUCUUCGGAUCGUAAAACUCUGUUGUUAGGGAAGAACAUAUAUGGGAGUAACUGUGGGUAUCUUGACGGUACCUGAUCAGAAAGCCACGGCUAACUACGUG